rnacentral:rRNA from 1 species
GUACACACCGCCCGUCGCUAGUACCGAUUGAAUGGCUUAGUGAGACCUCCGGAUUUGCAUUUCUUUGGGGGCAACCUCAUCGUUUCGCGGAAAAGCUGGUCAAACUUGGUCAUUUAGAGGAACUAAAAGUCGUAACAAGGUAACCGUAGGUGAACCUGCAGAAGGAUCA